ACGAAUGGGGCAAGCGUUGUUCGGAAUCACUGGGCUUAAAGCGUGCGCAGGCGGAUUUGCAAGUCAGGAGUGAAAUCCCGGGGCUCAACCUCGGAAUUGCUUCUGAAACUGCAAGUCUAGAAUCCGGUAGAGGUUAGGAGAAUUCCUAGUGUAGAGGUAAAAUUCGCAGAUAUUAGGAGGAAUACCAGUGGCGAAGGCGCCUAACUGGACCGGUAUUGACGCUCAUGUACGAAAGCGUGGGGAGCAAACAGG
rnacentral:rRNA from 1 species